rnacentral:lncRNA from 1 species
UUAUUUUAGUAAUAUAAAUCGUCAAAUCUUCUGAAUUUAUAGCUGAAGUUUUCGUACUCGCCUUUUUCUCCAUUUCAAGCAACCUUUGGAAUCUCUCUUUCAUUUUCAGACGGAAAGCGUACGACGACUUCAAUAUGAAGGAAUGACUCUGGCUCAUUUUUUUUCCUUUCUCCCAGAUCUGUCGCUAAUUACACGUUCCAAGGUACUUCAUUAUUCAGGUUUUGCAAUAGAUCUAUCGCCAUACAUUUUAGCUUCAUUGUCAAAUCUGAGCUGAAAAAAGUGAUCAUUUUUUUUGGUAUCGGAAUCUCUCUAGUUUGAGGUAGAGAUCUAAUGCUGUAUGUGACUAUGAAAUGCGUUCUUUUUAAGCUAAUGAAUCAUUUUUUAUUGUUGUUGUUGUUAUUUUUUUUGUUCUCAUUUCCUGUUUUUAAGCUCUGAAUAGAAUUACAGUUUCGGUUGUUUUCGUAGAUCUGUAUAUUCGUUUGUAUUUGUAGGAAUUUGUUCCUUCGCUGUGCUUACGUUAAUUUUUUUAGUUUACUUAUACUGCUGUUUGCAAAAAAUCAAAUCUUCGUAUAAUAAAGGUCUGCAUUCUGCGCAUCAAAAAAUUUCAGUAUGUUAUUUGUUGAUUUUGGCUAUGAUUAUCAUAUUUUGAGGAAUUGAGUUGAGUAUAUAUGAACUUAGAAUGAAGUUAAUUAGAAAUUAUUUUUGUUAGAUUCUCAAUUGAUGUAAAUAUGCAAUGCAAAAAGCACCUUUACCCCCUGUGGCCCCGUGGUCGUCGCCUUGUAAGCAUUGAGCUACUAAACUUUUAAAAAAAAUGCAAUUAGCCACUGUGUUUAAAAAGAAUUCUUAAUCAGGCCAUUCUGUCUAAUUUUGCUCAUGGAUGUUAAAUAAACUGUCCAAAUUUCCUACGUGGCAAGCUAGUCAAACCCGACGACGAAAUCUUCACCUGCACAGAUUCUAGCUCAGCCAAAUCCCUAAACCCGUUUUAACGAAACCCAUUGCCACGCCUACAGCUUCAUCGGCCUCCUCGUCUUCUUCUGCAGCUUCUUGUGCCUUGUUUAAGUCAGAUGCAGAACAACCACAACAACAGCAAAAUAAAUCGUGUGAUGGGCUAGCAGCGGGGUCAGGGCAGCGUUAUCGCUUCCACCGCCUCGAUGGAAGGUGGUUUUCAACUGUCAAAUGGUGGAAUAAUGGAGGAUGUUGAUUGCAUGGAUGUGAUGGAGGAUUUCGGGUACACGGAUCUGAUUGAUGGGAAUGAUACUUGGGCCCAUCUUCUAUUUUCCACCAAAACCCUGAUGAUCAAGGGGAAGCUAGAGACUACUCCAAUCAGAAGGAGCAAGUGAGUGAUUUUAUGUUACAGGGGAACAUUGAGUUGGUUCAAGAGAAAGAAGAAAGGUUUAGAUGAGCUAGGGGUUAUGUUUUUUGAGUGGCUCAAGACAAAUAAGGAGCACAUCUUCCGCAACUUCAUCGACUUUAAUGAUUAACGAGUGAUCAACAGCUUGUCGAAAGCUUCGGUAGCCGUGACCGGCCCAUGCGCCGCCACCACCAGCCUCGGACACCUCUUCCUCAUCGUGGUCCAAUCCAAACCCAAGAGCUGAGAUCGUGAAAGUUGAGCCAAUUGGGGAUAAAGGGGAGAUCGGAGAGGAGAGAGUAGGAGUCUUAGCAAUAGGGUUUUUGAUUUGGGAAUUUUAAGAGGAAGAAGAAGCACGCGACUUGUUUUGAUUUUGAUCUGGUUCUGUUUUUUUAUUUUGUUUUGUUUUUUUUUGUUUUUAUGUUUAGUUAUUAAUAGGUUUUAAUAGUAUGUUUCUUUUUUGUUUAAACUUAAAUUUAAUAAUUUUAUUGUAUUAAUAUUAAUUUUUAAAAUUAAAAUAAUAAUUAAAAGAG